AAGGAAAUUACCAUGAGACUUUUCCGUGACUGAAAUUCAGUUAGGACACAUAUCCGAGCAGGUUCAACAAUGGUGCAUAUAAAUGGAUUUAUGUUAUCGUGCUGAAGUCUGCACAUCUACAUCACAUUCAUAGUGUCACAAGUUUCACAAUCGAGUGCUGGCCACGGUGAAGUCCAUUUGAUAGAUUUGUUCCAGACUUUCAUUCGCCAGUCGUCAACUACCUUAUUUGGGUGCACAGGAUAAUUCAUAACACGCAUCUAGAAACAAAAGUAAUUAUAGAGUUUGUUUUGUUUCCUCAUUGUGAAUCGAAUCAUUAUUGUGCAACAGUUUUGAUUGCAAUUACAUACUCUGGAAUCGUCUAUUAAGACUGAGUAAUACUGAUCUAAAAAUAAAGGGACAGUUUGACUACGUCUAGGCUACAUUUCAACUCCGAUUUCUCACCUGUUUCACUUCUAGAAGGUGAGAACUAAGUUCCGCGUCAGUCGAUAUGGCUACUUUGAUUGUGAGGAUGUCCAUUUUUGCCGCUAGUUUUCUAGCUUGAUGUGUGAAUAGGUAUACCAUUGCAGCCAAAGUGAGCAGAUGGGCCACAAUUAUGGUCAUAUUAACGUUGUUGUUGAGUAAUUCAACGUCAUAAAUCACUUGAUCUUCGAAAUUGCUUUCAGAACCGGCAAAACGGGCGUGAAGUGUGUGAUUCAACUCAGCAUUCCACGAAAAUGGCCAAAGGGAACCAUCACAUUUGUGUGGCCGUCUGCGGAUGAAUUGGGUUUUGGUGGAAAUAAAUCUGAAGAGCCCACAGCGAUGUAGCUGUCUUCGGUAUCUCCAUUUGCAUUAAAGGAAAUAAAUCCUCCUCGAACACCUGCAA
rnacentral:lncRNA from 1 species